rnacentral:rRNA from 1 species
AUGCCAUGUGGAAUCAACCUUCCUUCCCUCGGGAAGUUGACUCUGAGUGAUGUGAAAGUAUACCAGGAUUCUCUGGACGCUUUGAUUGCUCACAGCCCUCACCUGGAAGACAUUCAUUUGAUACAGCCUGCCAUGUUUCUUGACCUCAUAGCCUCCAAGGUGUUAAAAAGGCUGACCAUUGAUGGCUACAUAGAUCCACACAAGGGUUUUACAAUUUCUGCUCCUCAUCUGGUUAUGCUGGACAAUGAGUUGCCAACAUGCUCAGCAUUUCAGAGCCUCACAAGUCUGGAAAUCGGAGGAUGGCAUCUGGCUGAGGACCUAUACGCCGUGCUCCGCCUCCUUAAGCUUUCACCAAGGCUAGAAAAGCUCAAACUGGUGCAUGACUCGGGUAAAGGAGCGGGCGCGGAUGCUCAGCCAACAAACGGAAUGACCUUCGGGUGCCGGCUUCUUCACAGCGUGACGAUACAAUGCACCAACGGCGACGAAGGGGUUGACAAGCUGGUGAGUGUUGUGGUGGCGAACGGGGUCAGCCUGUACAAGAUACAUGUCACCAUGACUUACCGUGAGUAUAUCGAGAAGAGGGCCUCUGAGCUAGAGGAUAAGGCGUCCGUCGCUGAGGAACCGGCGAAGAAGGUGAGACUUUGCUGA